rnacentral:rRNA from 1 species
AUAUUAAUAAGCGGAGGAAAAGAAAACAACAGUGAUUCCCUAGUAAUGGCGAAUGAAGCGGGAAUAGCUCAAAUUUAAAAUCUCUUAGGAGAAUUGUAGUUUGUAGAGGUGGCUUCGUCGACGGCCCGGGCAUAAGCCUCUGGAACGGGGCAUCACGGAGGGUGACAAUCCCGUAAGUGGUCCGGUAGCUGUCGCAUAUGAACUGCCUUCAAAGAGUCGGGUUGCUUGGGACUGCAGCCCAAAGUGGGUGGUAUAUUCCAUCUAAAGCUAAAUACUGGCGAGAGACCGAUAGCGCACAAGUA